GGGUGUAUUUGUGUACAUACACGUUUCUGUUUACUAUCACUGUUACUACCGUCUCCAUCCCAUUCUGUUGAAAAUUAGAACAGAAGAUUGAGGAAACUCAGGCUGUCUCGCCACACUGAAAGGCGUCCAAAUACCCUUACAGUUAGAUUGUCCAGUGGUGGCUUAGGUGCUUGCUAACAGCCAGGAAUUGGACAACACAUCUAAAAGUUUUAAGCGCAUCUUGGUCCUCGUCUCCCAUUCCCAGGAUUUUCUGAAUGGUGUCUGUACCAAUAUCAUUCACAUGCACAACAAGAAACUGAAGUAUUAUACGGGUAAUUAUGAUCAGUACGUGAAGACGCGGCUAGAGCUGGAGGAGAACCAGAUGAAGAGGUUUCACUGGGAGCAAGAUCAGAUUGCACACAUGAAGAACUACAUUGCGAGGUUUGGUCAUGGCAGUGCCAAGCUGGCCCGGCAGGCCCAGAGCAAGGAGAAGACGCUACAGAAAAUGAUGGCAUCAGGACUGACAGAGAGGGUCGUGAGCGAUAAGACACUGUCAUUUUAUUUCCCACCAUGUGGCAAGAUCCCUCCGCCUGUCAUUAUGGUGCAAAAUGUGAGCUUCAAGUAUACAAAAGAUGGGCCUUGCAUCUACAAUAAUCUAGAAUUUGGAAU
rnacentral:sRNA from 1 species